rnacentral:rRNA from 1 species
AUACGGAGGGUGCAAGCGUUAAUCGGAAUUACUGGGCGUAAAGCGCGCGUAGGCGGUUUGAUAAGUCGGAUGUGAAAUCCCCGGGCUCAACCUGGGAAUUGCAUUCGAUACUGUCAGGCUAGAGUGUGGUAGAGGGAAGUGGAAUUUCCGGUGUAGCGGUGAAAUGCGUAGAUAUCGGAAGGAACACCAGUGGCGAAGGCGGCUUCCUGGACCAACACUGACGCUGAGGUGCGAAAGCGUGGGGAGCAAACAGGAUUAGAAACCCGAGUAGUCC